GACGAACGCUGGCGGCGUGCUUAACACAUGCAAGUCGAACGGAAAGGCCUCUUUCGGGGGGUACUCGAGUGGCGAACGGGUGAGUAACACGUGAGUAACCUGCCCUUGACUUUGGGAUAACUUCAGGAAACUGGGGCUAAUACCGGAUAGGAGCUCCUGCUGCAUGGUGGGGGUUGGAAAGUUUCGGCGGUUGGGGAUGGACUCGCGGCUUAUCAGCUUGUUGGUGGGGUAGUGGCUUACCAAGGCUUUGACGGGUAGCCGGCCUGAGAGGGUGACCGGCCACAUUGGGACUGAGGUACGGCCCAGACUCCUACGGGAGGCAGCAGUGGGGAAUAUUGCACAAUGGGUGGAAGCCUGAUGCAGCAACGCCGGGUGCGGGAUGACGGCCUUCGGGUUGUAAACCGCUUUCGCUCAUGACGAAGCUUUGUGUGACGGUAGUGGGUAAAGAAGCACCGGCUAACUACGUG
rnacentral:rRNA from 1 species